rnacentral:tRNA from 1 species
AGCCUUGAGGUGUUGUCACAUAUCGGAUUGCAAAUCUGAAGUAGUCGGCUAACGCCGACCAGGGCUU